rnacentral:rRNA from 1 species
AUUGAACGCUGGCGGCAGGCCUAACACAUGCAAGUCGAACGAGUGGCGGACGGGUGAGUAAUGUCUGGGAAACUGCCCGAUGGAGGGGGAUAACUACUGGAAACGGUAGCUAAUACCCCAUACCAUCGCAUGUUCCCCUCUGGGAUGAGCUAGUAGGCGGGGUAACGGCUCACCUAGGGGACGAUCCCUAGCUGGUCUGAUAGGAUGACCAGCAGCACUGGAACUGAGACACGGUCCAGACUCCUACGGGAGGCAGCAGUGUGGAAUAUUGCACAAUGGGCGCAAGCCUGAUGCAGCCAUGCCGCGUGUAUGAAGAAGGCCUUCGGGUUGUAAAGUACUUUCAGCGGGGAGGCGUUACUCGCAGAAGAAGCACCGGCUAACUCCGUGCCAGCAGCCGCGGUAAUAG